UACGUAGGGUGCAAGCGUUAAUCGGAAUUAUUGGGCGUAAAGAGCUCGUAGGCGGUUUGUCGCGUCUGCCGUGAAAGUCCGGGGCUCAACUCCGGAUCUGCGGUGGGUACGGGCAGACUAGAGUGAUGUAGGGGAGACUGGAAUUCCUGGUGUAGCGGUGAAAUGCGCAGAUAUCAGGAGGAACACCGAUGGCAAAGGCAGGUCUCUGGGCAUUAACUGACGCUGAGGAGCGAAAGCAUGGGGAGCGAACAGG
rnacentral:rRNA from 1 species